rnacentral:rRNA from 1 species
AGCGAACGCUGGCGGCAGGCUUAACACAUGCAAGUCGAGCGGGCAUCUUCGGAUGUCAGCGGCAGACGGGUGAGUAAGACGGGGGAACGUAUCCUUCGGUUCGGAACAACUGUGGGUAACUGGAGCUAAUAUUGGAUAAUCCCGUAUGGGGACAGGUUUGCUGACGAAGGAUCGGUCCGCGUCUGAUUUGUUAGUUGGUGGGGUAACUGAUUACCAAGUCGACGAUCUGUAGCUGGACAGAGGGGACGAUCAGUCACUCUGGGACUAGGACACGGCGGGGAAUCCUGCAGGAGGGAGGCGUGGGUGAUAUUGGAAAACCGGCGGAAGCAUGAUGCAGCCAUGCUGGGUGAGUGAUGUAGGCCUUAGAGUAGUAAAGCUCUUUUAUCAGGGACGAUAAUGACGGUACCGGAAGAAUAAGCCCCGGCUAACUUCGUG